ensembl:snRNA U6 U6 spliceosomal RNA
GCGCUCACUUCGGCAGCACAUACACUAAAGUUGGAACGACACAGAGAAGAUUAGCAUGGCCCCUGUGCAAGGAUGACACGCAGAUUCGUGAAGCGUUCCAUAUUUAA